ACGCACGCUGGCGGCGUGCUUCACCCCUGCCAGUCGCACGGAAAGGCCCUGCUUUUGUGGGGUGCUCGAGUGGCGAACGGGUGAGUAACACGUGAGUAACCUGCCCUUGACUUUGGGAUAACUUCAGGAAACUGGGGCUAAUACCGGAUAGGAGCUCCUGCUGCAUGGUGGGGGUUGGAAAGUUUCGGCGGUUGGGGAUGGACUCGCGGCUUAUCAGCUUAUUGGUGGGGUAGUGGCUUACCAAGGCUUUGACGGGUAGCCGGCCUGAGAGGGUGACCGGCCACAUUGGGACUGAGAUACGGCCCAGACUCCUACGGGAGGCAGCAGUGGGGAAUAUUGCACAAUGGGCGGAAGCCUGAUGCAGCAACGCCGCGUGCGGGAUGACGGCCUUCGGGUUGUAAACCGCUUUCGCCUGUGACGAAGCGUGAGUGACGGUAAUGGGUAAAGAAGCACCGGCUAACUACGUG
rnacentral:rRNA from 1 species